GGGCGAGUGGCACAGUGGUAGCGCGCUUGCUUCGCAUUCUUAGCUUUCACAUGGGAUCGACUGCACGAGGUCCUGGGUUCAAUCCCCAGCUCGUCCA